AGCGCUCCCAGAUUUGGAUUUGCCAGCUGAAAUGUGAAGGUGACAUGGAGCAGAGGGGUGAUGAACAGCCCAACAAACCAGGGGUGAAGGCAGCAUCUUUCCCUGCACGGCCCUUCCCAUAACAGGCUUCUGGGAGGAACAUAAAGGCACUUCCAGAGAUGCACUCUGGUGUGCCACACAUUUAGCUCUGUCUGCUGGAGAAAUAAAAAAGGUCAAAUGAAGGUUGUGUGGUGCAAUGAAUUUGCUGGGGUGUGAUAAACUGCAGCCAUGUGAGAUCCCAUCCUGAUAAUUCCUGCAUCUCUAAAUGGAAUGCUGCAGGAUGUGUCUUCUGAGGAGUCAGAAGUGUUUCAGUGCAUCCCCAUUUCAGGGCAGCUGCACCCACCACAUUCAGGUGUUUGAACUUGGGGAAUCCAGGGGCUCUGCUACCAUAAAAGAGACAUCUGUGUGCUCCUCUUCACUGCUUCUUGGGGACCCAGUCUCAAUUAAGACUAUGAGAAGACCUCAUAAGAACAUGGAAGAAGGCACUGCUUUCCUCAGAAUGAUUAGGAUUUGGCAUGGGGAACACCUCACAGGGUCAUCAGUGGCUUUUCAAGGACCAAGCUGAUGGGACAGCUUCCCCAGGGACUGAGAGAGAUGUCAGCCCCUUCUGCCUGAGCUGUGGGAGACAGGGACUGGAUGUGCAGAGAUAACCAGGGCAAACAAAAUCCUUUGAAUUGGAAGAACAAAGAGGCUUCUCUGCACUUGCAGUAUUAGGCAGGUGAUUACACAACCAGGAACUGAAGUUGUAACAACUUUGGCUGGAAAAUGACCACGUUUGGAACAUGCAAACAACAACUGGAUUUCAUGGAGCUCUGAGUGCAUCUUUAUAGCCAUCAGUGAGUAAAACACACUUGACAUUUCCAGUCGUGCCACUUCAGUGUCACCACUAGAAAUCCAUUCUUUUUCUUACUCUGAGAGGGCUGUAUGCCAUAAGAUCCUUUUGUCCCUCCUGAUUCCCCUCACAAGAUGGGAAUGUGAGCUAAUGCUUGGAAGGAGUGCUGUGACUUUUCAGUAGGAAAGCAGCAGAACUGAACAUAAAACCUGGCCCUGUUGUUGGAAAUGUGGGUAGAAAUGUGACUGGCACCUGGAUGAUAUUUACUGAGUGCCUGUAGCACAGAGGCCCUGCAGGGCUGUAGAGAAUGUCCUGUUUUCACCUUCUUGCUCAUUUUUCUUUGUGAAGCUGAGGUCCAGCACAGCUCUUGCUAUUAAUAAAAAUUAGGGCUGUUACUGAUGGAGGUUUGUU
rnacentral:lncRNA from 1 species